rnacentral:rRNA from 1 species
GAUGAACGCUGGCGGCGUGCCUAAUACAUGCAAGUCGAGCGAACAGACGAGGAGCUUGCUCCUCUGACGUUAGCGGCGGACGGGUGAGUAACACGUGGAUAACCUACCUAUAAUACUGGGAUAACUUCGGGAAACCGGAGCUAAUACCGGAUAACAUGUUUAACCGCAUGGUUCAACAGUGAAAGACGGUCUUGCUGUCACUUAUAGAUGGAUCCGCGCCGCAUUAGCUAGUUGGUAAGGUAACGACUUACCAAGGCAACGAUGCGUAGCCGACCUGAGAGGGGGAUAGGACACACUGGAACUGAGACACGGUCAAGACUCCUAAGGGAGGCAGCAGUAGGGAAUCUUACGCAAUGGGCGAAAGCCUGACGGAGCAACGCCGCGUGAGUGAAGAAGGUCUUCGGAUCGUAAAACUCUGUUAUUAGGGAAGAACAAAUGUGUAAGUAACUAUGCACGUCUUGACGGUACCUAAUCAGAAAGCCACGGCUAACUACGUG